rnacentral:rRNA from 1 species
GAUGAACGCUGGCGGCGUGCCUAAUACAUGCAAGUCGAGCGAACGGACGAGAAGCUUGCUUCUCUGAUGUUAGCGGCGGACGGGUGAGUAACACGUGGAUAACCUACCUAUAAGACUGGGAUAACUUCGGGAAACCGUAGCUAAUACCGGAUAAUAUUUUGAACCGCAUGGUUCAAAAGUGAAAGACGGUCUUGCUGUCACUUAUAGAUGGAUCCGCGCUGCAUUAGCUAGUUGGUAAGGUAACGGCUUACCAAGGCAACGAUGCAUAGCCGACCUGAGAGGGUGAUCGGCCACACUGGAACUGAGACACGGUCCAGACUCCUACGGGAGGCAGCAGUAGGGAAUCUUCCGCAAUGGGCGAAAGCCUGACGGAGCAACGCCGCGUGAGUGAUGAAGGUCUUCGGAUCGUAAAACUCUGUUAUUAGGGAAGAACAUAUGUGUAAGUAACUGUGCACAUCUUGACGGUACCUAAUCAGAAAGCCACGGCUAACUACGUGCCAGCAGCCGCGGUAAUACGUAGGUGGCAAGCGUUAUCCGGAAUUAUUGGGCGUAAAGCGCGCGUAGGCGGUUUUUUAAGUCUGAUGUGAAAGCCCACGGCGUCUUUCGUUGGAGGGUCAUUGGAAACUGGAAAACUUGAGUGCAGAUUAGGAAAGUGGAAUUCCAUGGUGUAGCGGUGAAAUGCGCAGAGAUAUGGAGGAACACCAGUGGCGAAGGCGACUUUCUGGUCUGUAACUGACGCUGAUGUGCGAAAGCGUGGGGAUCAAACAGGAUUAGAUACCCUGGUAGUCCACGCCGUAAACGAUGAGUGCUAAGUGUUAGGGGGUUUCCGCCCCUUAGUGCUGCAGCUAACGCAUUAAGCACUCCGCCUGGGGAGUACGACCGCAAGGUUGAAACUCAAAGGAAUUGACGGGGACCCGCACAAGCGGUGGAGCAUGUGGUUUAAUUCGAAGCAACGCGAAGAACCUUACCAAAUCUUGACAUCCUUUGACAACUCUAGAGAUAGAGCCUUCCCCUUCGGGGGACAAAGUGACAGGUGGUGCAUGGUUGUCGUCAGCUCGUGUCGUGAGAUGUUGGGUUAAGUCCCGCAACGAGCGCAACCCUUAAGCUUAGUUGCCAUCAUUAAGUUGGGCACUCUAAGUUGACUGCCGGUGACAAACCGGAGGAAGGUGGGGAUGACGUCAAAUCAUCAUGCCCCUUAUGAUUUGGGCUACACACGUGCUACAAUGGACAAUACAAAGGGCAGCGAAACCGCGAGGUCAAGCAAAUCCCAUAAAGUUGUUCUCAGUUCGGAUUGUAGUCUGCAACUCGACUACAUGAAGCUGGAAUCGCUAGUAAUCGUAGAUCAGCAUGCUACGGUGAAUACGUUCCCGGGUCU